rfam:Triticum aestivum genome assembly, contig: Triticum_aestivum_CS42_TGACv1_scaffold_392481_5AS
GGAUGCAAUCAUACCAGCAGUAAAGCAUCGAAUCCCAUCAGGACUCUGAAGUUACGCGUGCUUGGGCGAGAGUAGUACUAGGAUGGGUGACAUCCUGGGAAGUCCUCGUGUUGCAUUCC